GAUGAACGCUGGCGGCGUGCUUAACACAUGCAAGUCGAACGAGGUACCCUUGACAGAGGCUUCGGCCAAUUGAUAGGAAUACCUAGUGGCGGACGGGUGAGUAACGCGUGAGGAACCUGCCUUGGAGUGGGGAAUAACAGUUAGAAAUAGCUGCUAAUACCGCAUAAUGCAACUAAGUCGCAUGGCUUUGGUUGCCAAAGAUUUAUCGCUCUAAGAUGGCCUCGCGUCUGAUUAGAUAGUUGGCGGGGUAACGGCCCACCAAGUCGACGAUCAGUAGCCGGACUGAGAGGUUGGCCGGCCACAUUGGGACUGAGACACGGCCCAGACUCCUACGGGAGGCAGCAGUGGGGAAUAUUGGGCAAUGGGCGCAAGCCUGACCCAGCAACGCCGCGUGAAGGAAGAAGGCCCUCGGGUUGUAAACUUCUUUUAUUCGGGACGAAACAAAUGACGGUACCGAAUGAAUAAGCCACGGCUAACUACGUGCCAGCAGCCGCGGUAAUACGUAGGUGGCAAGCGUUAUCCGGAUUUACUGGGUGUAAAGGGCGUGUAGGCGGGAGAGCAAGUCAGACGUGAAAUUCCAGGGCUCAACCCUGGAACUGCGUUUGAAACUGUUCUUCUUGAGUGAUGGAGAGGCAGGCGGAAUUCCGUGUGUAGCGGCGAAAUGCGUAGAUAUACGGAGGAACACCAGUGGCGAAGGCGGCCUGCUGGACAUUAACUGACGCUGAGGCGCGAAAGCGUGGGGAGCAAACAGGAUUAGAUACCCUGGUAGUCCACGCUGUAAACGAUGGAUACUAGGUGUGGGGGGUCUGACCCCCUCCGUGCCGCAGCUAACGCAAUAAGUAUCCCACCUGGGGAGUACGAUCGCAAGGUUGAAACUCAAAGGAAUUGACGGGGGCCCGCACAAGCGGUGGAGUAUGUGGUUUAAUUCGAAGCAACGCGAAGAACCUUACCAGGGCUUGACAUCCCGCUGACCGGUGUAGAGAUACACUUUUCCCUUCGGGGACAGCGGUGACAGGUGGUGCAUGGUUGUCGUCAGCUCGUGUCGUGAGAUGUUGGGUUAAGUCCCGCAACGAGCGCAACCCUUAUUGUUAGUUGCUACGCAAGAGCACUCUAACGAGACUGCCGUUGACAAAACGGAGGAAGGUGGGGACGACGUCAAAUCAUCAUGCCCCUUAUGUCCUGGACCACACACGUACUACAAUGGCGGUCAACAAAGAGAGGCAAAACCGCGAGGUGGAGCAAAUCUCAAAAAGCCGUCCCAGUUCGGAUUGCAGGCUGCAACCCGCCUGCAUGAAGUUGGAAUCGCUAGUAAUCGCGGAUCAGCAUGCCGCGGUGAAUACGUUCCCGGGCCU
rnacentral:rRNA from 1 species